rnacentral:rRNA from 1 species
UACGUAGGGGGCGAGCGUUGUCCGGAUUUAUUGGGCGUAAAGCGCGUGUAGGCAGCUUGGCAAGUCCGCUGUGAAAACUCGAGGCUCAACCUCGAGAUGUCGGUGGAAACUGCCUGGCUAGAGUCCGGAAGAGGAGUGUGGAAUUCCUGGUGUAGCGGUGAAAUGCGCAGAUAUCAGGAAGAACACCUAUGGCGAAGGCAGCACUCUGGGACGGUACUGACGCUGAGACGCGAAAGCGUGGGGAGCGAACAGG